CAAUAGCGUAUAUUAAAGUUGUUGCAGUUAAAAAGCUCGUAGUUGAAUUUCUGGCGGGCGCGCCGGUCUUCCAAGUGUUGUACUGGGCGCAGUCCACCAUCCUUGUGGAGAGGGCUCGCAUUGAGUUGCGUGUCGGAUCUGCAUCAUUUACUGUGAAAAAAUUAGAGUGUUUAAAGCAGGCUGUCGCUUGAAUACAUUAGCAUGGAAUAAUAAGAUAGGACUUCGGUCUAUUUUGUUGGUUGCGAACCGAGGUAAUGAUUAAUAGGGAUAGUUGGGGGUAUUCAUAUUUAAUUGUCAGAGGUGAAAUUCUUGGAUUUAUGAAAGAUGAACAACUGCGAAAGCAUUUACCAAGGAUGUUUUCAUUAA
rnacentral:rRNA from 1 species